UUACGGCCGUAUCACGUUGAAACAACGGUUCUCGUCCGAUCACCGAAGUUAAGCAACAUUGAGCAUGAUCAGAAAUCAGAUUGGUGAGCGUGGAGGAAGACCAAGUGCUGUAAG